GACGAACGCUGGCGGCGUGCUUAACACAUGCAAGUCGAACGGAAAGGCCCUGCUUGCAGGGUACUCGAGUGGCGAACGGGUGAGUAACACGUGGGUGAUCUGCCCUGCACUUCGGGAUAAGCCUGGGAAACUGGGUCUAAUACCGGCUAGGAGCCAUUUUUAGUGUGAUGGUUGGAAAGUUUUUUCGGUGUAGGAUGAGCUCGCGGCCUAUCAGCUUGUUGGUGGGGUAAUGGCCUACCAAGGCGGCGACGGGUAGCCGGCCUGAGAGGGUGGACGGCCACAUUGGGACUGAGAUACGGCCCAGACUCCUACGGGAGGCAGCAGUGGGGAAUAUUGCACAAUGGGCGCAAGCCUGAUGCAGCGACGCCGCGUGGGGGAUGACGGCCUUCGGGUUGUAAACUCCUUUCGCUAGGGACGAAGCUUUUUGUGACGGUACCUAGAGAAGAAGCACCGGCUAACUACGCG
rnacentral:rRNA from 1 species